UGCAGUCGAACGGAAACGAUACUAGCUUGCUAGUAGGCGUCGAGUGGCGGACGGGUGAGUAACGCGUAGGAAUCUGCCUGAUAGUGGGGGAUAGCCCGAAGAAAUUCGGAUUAAUACCGCAUAAUCUAUUCGUAGUAAAGUGGGGGACUUUCGAGCCUCACGCUAUCAGAUGAGCCUGCGUAAGAUUAGCUUGUUGGUAGGGUAAAAGCCUACUAAGGCGACGAUCUUUAGCUGGUCUGAGAGGAUGAUCAGCCACAUCGGGACUGAGACACGGCCCGAACUCCUACGGGAGGCAGCAGUGGGGAAUAUUGGACAAUGGGGGCAACCCUGAUCCAGCAAUACCGCGUGUGUGAAGAAGGCCUGAGGGUUGUAAAGCACUUUCAAUUGUGAAGAAAAGUUAGCGGUUAAUAACCGCUAGCCUUGACGUUAACUUUAGAAGAAGCACCGGCUAACUCCGUGCCAGCAGCCGCGGUAAUACGGAGGGUGCAAGCGUUAAUCGGAAUUACUGGGCGUAAAGCGUGCGUAGGCGGUUUAUUAAGUCAGAUGUGAAAGCCCCGGGCUUAACCUGGGAACUGCAUUUGAAACUGGUCAACUAGAGUAUGGUAGAGGAAAGUGGAAUUUCUGGUGUAGCGGUGAAAUGCGUAGAUAUCAGAAGGAACAUCAAUGGCGAAGGCAGCUUUCUGGACCAAUACUGACGCUGAGGUACGAAAGCGUGGGUAGCAAACAGGAUUAGAUACCCUGGUAGUCCACGCCGUAAACGAUGAUAACUAGCCGUUGGGGGGAUUUACCCUUUAGUGGCGAAGCUAACGCGUUAAGUUAUCCGCCUGGGGAGUACGGCCGCAAGGUUAAAACUCAAAGGAAUUGACGGGGACCCGCACAAGCGGUGGAGCAUGUGGUUUAAUUCGAUGCAACGCGAGAACCUUACCUGGUCUUGACAUCCUGCGAACUUUCUAGAAAUA
rnacentral:rRNA from 1 species